AGAUUGAACGCUGGCGGCAGGCCUAACACAUGCAAGUCGAGCGGCAGCACGGGUACUUGUACCUGGUGGCGAGCGGCGGACGGGUGAGUAAUGCCUAGGAAUCUGCCUGAUAGUGGGGGAUAACGUUCGGAAACGGACGCUAAUACCGCAUACGUCCUACGGGAGAAAGUGGGGGAU
rnacentral:rRNA from 1 species